rnacentral:antisense_RNA from 3 species
CUUCAGCGAUCCCAGCCGCAGCGGGCGGUCGGCGGGCCGGUCCUGGCCGUACGUGGCCAGCAGCGCCUGGGCCUC